UACGGAGGAUCCAAGCGUUAUCCGGAAUCAUUGGGUUUAAAGGGUCCGUAGGCGGUUUAAUAAGUCAGUGGUGAAAGCCCAUCGCUCAACGGUGGAACGGCCAUUGAUACUGUUAAACUUGAAUUAUUAGGAAGUAACGUAGAAUAUGUAGUGUAGCGGUGAAAUGCUUAGAGAUUACAUGGAAUACCAAUUGCGAAGGCAGGUUACUACUAAUGGAUUGACGCUGAUGGACGAAAGCGUGGGUAGCGAACAGG
rnacentral:rRNA from 1 species